rnacentral:rRNA from 1 species
UACGGAGGGUGCGAGCGUUGUCCGGAAUCACGUGGCGUAAAGGGCGCGUAGGCGGCCCUGGCAGUCGGUGGUGAAGCCCAGUCGGCUGCAACAUGCGGGGUCGGCCACCGAUACGUCCAGGGCUCGAGUUUGGUAGAGGCAGAUGGAAUUCCGGGUGUAGCGGUGGAAUGCGUAGAGAUCCGGAAGAACACCGGUGGCGAAGGCGGUCUGCUGGGGCCAAGACUGGACGCUGAGGCGCGACAGCGUGGGGAGCAAACAGG